GAGCGUAGGGGGCCAGCGUUUGCUCGGAAUUACUGGGUGUAAAGGGUUCGUAGGCGGUGUGGCAAGUCGGGAGUGAAAUCUCUGGGCUCAACCCAGAGUCUGCUUCCGAAACUGCCGUGCUUGAGUGUGGGAGAGGCGCGUGGAAUUGCAGGUGUAGCGGUGAAAUGCGUAGAUAUCUGACAGGAACACCCGUGGCGAAAGCGGCGC
rnacentral:rRNA from 1 species